GCUGGUCAGGUUAUUGUACAAUUCAUAGCUUACAACACAAGUAAUUUCACAUCAAGUGUUAACUACACACUUAUCCACAACUAGAACUCAUUCACAAUUUCACUUCUCAUAGUGUGACAAUCCACCAUCACAUGUUUACACGUAUAUCACAAAUUAACACAUGUUCAACUUUACACUUAUACUCAAUCUCAAUAACAAUAUUAUAAUCUCAAAGCAACAUAUUCUUCUACAAUUCAUCACAUACUCACAAUUUGAAUCAUCAUUUCAUAUCCUCAAUAUAACAAUUUAUAUAAAAGACUAUCACAACAUUAGGACUAAAACUCCUU
rnacentral:lncRNA from 1 species